UACAGAGGGGGCAAGCGUUGUUCGGAAUUACUGGGCGUAAAGGGCGCGUAGGCGGCCUUCUAAGUCGAACGUGAAAUCCCCGGGCUCAACCCAGGAACUGCGUCCGAGACUGAAAGGCUCGAAUCCGGGAGAGGGAUGUGGAAUUCCAGGUGUAGCGGUGAAAUGCGUAGAUAUCUGGAGGAACAUCGGUGGCGAAGGCGGCAUCCUGGACCGGUAUUGACGCUGAGGCGCGAAAGCCAGGGGAGCAAACGGG
rnacentral:rRNA from 1 species